rnacentral:lncRNA from 1 species
AAAUAUUAUAGAGAAUUUUCUAUGUGCACAUGAAAUGAUUUCUUAAUGUAAGAGAUCAGAGGAGAAAGGUAUAUUUUGCAAGCUGGAUUUUGAGAAAGCUUUUAAAACUUUAACUUAGAAUUUCUUGCUCAAUGGCUGAAGGCUAGAGGUUUCCUAGAUAUGUGGGUUGAUUGGAUUCUUCAUUUGCUCUCUUUGGCAUUGAGAGAACUUCUUGUCAACAGACAGCCUGCUAAAUGGAUAAAUUAUAAGCAGAAGUUGAGAC